rnacentral:misc_RNA from 1 species
CCAAUAGCGUAUAUUAAAGUUGUUGCAGUUAAAAAGCUCGUAGUUGAAUUUCGGGAUCAGUACGUUGGUCAUGCCUUGGUAUGUACUGGUGUAACUGAUUCCUCCCUUCUGACGAACCGUCAUGCCAUUCACUUGGUGUGGCGGGAAAUCAGGACUGUUACUUUGAAAAAAUUAGAGUGUUUAAAGCAGGCUCGCGCUUGAAUACAUUAGCAUGGAAUAAUGAAAUAGGACGUUAAUCCUAUUUUGUUGGUUUCUAGGAUCGACGUAAUGAUUAAUAGGGAUAGUUGGGGGCAUUAGUAUUCAAUUGUCAGAGGUGAAAUUCUUGGAUUUAUUGAAGACUAACUACUGCGAAAGCAUUUGCCAAGGAUGUUUUCAUUAAUCAAGAACGAAAGUUAGGGGAUCGAAGACGAUCAGAUACCGUCGUAGUCUUAACCAUAAACUAUGCCGACUAGGGAUCGGAUGAUGUUAAUAUUAAUGACUCAUUCGGCACCUUACG